rnacentral:rRNA from 1 species
ACGGGAGGCAGCAGUAGGGAAUCUUCGGCAAUGGGGGGAACCCUGACCGAGCAACGCCGCGUGAGUGAAGAAGGUUUUCGGAUCGUAAAGCUCUGUUGUUAAGGAAGAACGAGUGUGAGAAUGGAAAGUUCAUACUGUGACGGUACUUAACCAGAAAGGGACGGCUAACUACGUGCCAGCAGCCGCGGUAAUACGUAGGUCCCGAGCGUUGUCCGGAUUUAUUGGGCGUAAAGCGAGCGCAGGCGGUUAGAUAAGUCUGAAGUUAAAGGCAGUGGCUCAACCAUUGUAGGCUUUGGAAACUGUUUAACUUGAGUGCAGAAGGGGAGAGUGGAAUUCCAUGUGUAGCGGUGAAAUGCGUAGAUAUAUGGAGGAACACCGGUGGCGAAAGCGGCUCUCUGGUCUGUAACUGACGCUGAGGCUCGAAAGCGUGGGGAGCGAACAGGAUUAGAUACCCUGGUAGUCCACGCCGUAAACGAUGAGUGCUAGGUGUUAGGUCCUUUCCGGGACUUAGUGCCGCAGCUAACGCAUUAAGCACUCCGCCUGGGGAGUACGACCGCAAGGUUGAAACUCAAAGGAAUUGACGGGGGCCCGCACAAG